AAAAUGAAACUACUAGUAACGAAGUAAAUAAAAAUAAUAACUUGGCUCUCUUGAAAUACCGAAACGAAUAUGUAAGUGCUUUAAAAUACUUUUUGUUCGUAUUAAUUUGUAGGUGCUUAAUCCAAAAUGGGGGGGGGUGAAAUGAAGGAUUUCAAAUUUGGAACUUCUACACUUCUGUCUCUAUAGGAUUACAGUACAGGAUUACUUUUGACCUUUCUUAAUAGUUGAUGAGACAGGUAAAUUCUGCUACGUGGGUUCGUUUCGUUAAUUCCGGAAAUCCAAGUUUGCAUGACCACUAACAAAGUUUGUAAUGACUACAGAGGUUACUUUUUACGACUGUACAACAAAUUGAAUAGCGACGAAUAUAUAAAGUGUGAGGGAUUGAAGUUCUGAUCGAAGUACAUCAUAUAACCAGCAAUAAGGCUUCAACUCAAAAUUAUUUUGGAAAAAUUUCAUUUUCUAUCAAGCACAUGCCAGUGUGACUUCAGGAAAGAAAAUGUGAUCAUCAGAAUGGUGUCUGUUGCUGCUGGACAGCUUCAGGAGAAGCAUCAAGAACAAAAUGCUGACUUGUACUUCACCUGCAUCGACCAAGGCUUUCAACACUGAGUAGGAAAGAGCACUGGAGAAUUAUGGCAACGUUUGGAUGCCCCAGGAUAUUCAUCACCAUCAGACAAAAGCUACACAAUAGCAUGCUGGCCAAAUUUCAAGACAACAGGCAGACAUUAAAGCUGUUUUCUGUUUCCAGUAGAGUGAAACAGGGUUGUAUCUUUACUUCCACUCUGUUCAUCCUCCUGUUUUCAGCCAUAGUGAUAGAUGUCUUCAAAGUUGAAAAUUCUGACACAGAUACUGCCAUUGGUAUCAAAGACCAUACUGAUGGCUCUGUCUACUGUGUCAGAAGGCUUUAAGCAAAUUUAGGGUUUCAACAGAUAACAUGAUUGACUUUCUGUUUUCCAAUGAUUGUACCUUCAAUACUAUCUCAGAGUCUGACAUGUUGUACAGUAUUGGCAAGUUCUCUGAUACCUGUAACAACCUCAGCCAAAUGAUGAUGAUGAUGAUGAUGAUCAUCGUUUAACGUCCGCUUUCCAUGCUAGCAUGGGUUGGACGAUUUGACCAAGGACUGGUGAACCAGAUGGCUACACCAGGCUCCAAUCUGAUUUGGCAGAGUUUCUACAGUUGGGUGCCCUUCCUAAUGCCAACCACUCCGAGAGUGUAGUGGGUGCUUUUACGUGCCACUGGUACAAGGGCCAGUCAGGCAGUACUGGCAACGGCCACGCUCGAAAUGGUGUAUUUUACGUGUCACCUGCAUAGGGGCCAGUCCAUCGGCACUGGCAACGAUCUCGUUCGAAUGUCUUUUCACGUGGUCUAUCUGAAUGUGUGUAUGAUAGCUCUCUAGGCAGUAUCCUCAUGGAGAAAGCUCCCACCUCCACUUGUUUGUUUGUCUUCCACAACUUAGCAUCGUGACUGAUAGAGUUCAAUAAAAUAAGGUUCAGAUUUAGAAAUAAGAAUUGUGGUUGAUAUGACUGAAACCAGAAAAAUGAUAAAAAUAUAUAUUAAUAUUAAUAAAGCUGUAAAAUUGAAAAAUCUCAACCUAAUUGUUUAAUCUGUUUAAGUUAAGUAAUCAAAUCUGCCUCAAUAAACUUCCGUUGUGUGA